UACGUAGGGUGCGAGUGUUGUCCGGAAUUAUUGGGCGUAAAGGGCUCGUAGGCGGUUUGUCGCGUCGGGAGUGAAAACUCAGGGCUUAACCCUGAGCCUGCUUCCGAUACGGGCAGACUAGAGGUAUGCAGGGGAGAACGGAAUUCCUGGUGUAGCGGUGAAAUGCGCAGAUAUCAGGAGGAACACCGGUGGCGAAGGCGGUUCUCUGGGCAUUACCUGACGCUGAGGAGCGAAAGUGUGGGGAGCGAACAGG
rnacentral:rRNA from 1 species